rnacentral:rRNA from 1 species
CAGCAGCCACGGUAAUACGGAGGGUGCAAGCGUUAUCCGGAUUUAUUGGGUUUAAAGGGUCCGUAGGCGGACUUAUAAGUCAGUGGUGAAAGCCUGUCGCUUAACGAUAGAACUGCCAUUGAUACUGUAAGUCUUGAGUAUAUUUGAGGUAGCUGGAAUAAGUAGUGUAGCGGUGAAAUGCAUAGAUAUUACUUAGAACACCAAUUGCGAAGGCAGGUUACCAAGAUAUAACUGACGCUGAGGGACGAAAGCGUGGGUAGCGAACAGGAUUAGAGACCCCGGUAGUCCCUGUCUCUUAUAA